UGGGCGCAAGCCUGAUCCAGCAAUGCCGCGUGCAGGAAGAAGGCCUUCGGGUUGUAAACUGCUUUUGUACGGAACGAAAAGAUCUGGGUUAAUACCCUGGGCUCAUGACGGUACCGUAAGAAUAAGCACCGGCUAACUACGUGCCAGCAGCCGCGGUAAUACGUAGGGUGCAAGCGUUAAUCGGAAUUACUGGGCGUAAAGCGUGCGCAGGCGGUUGUGUAAGACAGGCGUGAAAUCCCCGGGCUCAACCUGGGAAUGGCGCUUGUGACUGCACAGCUGGAGUGCGGCAGAGGGGGAUGGAAUUCCGCGUGUAGCAGUGAAAUGCGUAGAUAUGCGGAGGAACACCGAUGGCGAAGGCAAUCCCCUGGGCCUGCACUGACGCUCAUGCACGAAAGCGUGGGGAGCAAACAGGAUUAGAUACCCUGGUAGUCCACGCCCUAAACGAUGUCAACUGGUUGUUGGGUCUUAGCUGACUCAGUAACGAAGCUAACGCGUGAAGUUGACCGCCUGGGGAGUA
rnacentral:rRNA from 1 species